CUGCCUCACCAUGGCCUGCUGAGCGGUGCCAUGUCCGCGCCCAGGAUCUGAACCAGUGAAACCCUGGGCUGCGGAAGCGGAGCACGUGAACUCAACCACUUGGCCACCAGGCUGGCCCCUAUAUUCUUAUCUACAUAUAAUUCUCUCUAGCAUGUCUAAAAUAUUUCAUUAAAAAACUACACUCAAUGAAAAAGAGUAAGACAGGCAUUUAGUAAUCAAAUGUUUAUAUACAAAAGUGGCAGAGGGGGCCGGCUUCGUGGCCGAGUGGUUAAGUUCGCACGCUCCACUGCGGCAGCCCAGGGUUCGGAUCCUGGGCGCAGACAUGGCACUGCUCAUCAGGCCACGCUGAGGCGGCAUCCCACAUUCCACAACUAGAAGGACCUGCAACUAAGACAUAUAACUAUGUACGGGGGCGGGGGGGGGGGUUUGGGGAGAUAAAGCAAAAAAAAAAAAAGUGGCAGAGAAGGAGUCAUAUACUCCACUUUUAAAGUGAGACAAAGGACUGACUUACCUGAGAAUUGACUAAAUGACAAAGAUGGGGCCUUUGUGGCUCCUCCCACUCUAACCACAGGCACCUGCUGGCUUACGCUCACCACUGCUCACACUCUCCCCACUCCAGCUACAAGUUACGCUCCAGGUUUCUGAAACAUGCCUCGCAUUUCCCGUCUGUCCCUCCACUUGACUUGCUUCCUCUCCUACAACAUA